rnacentral:rRNA from 1 species
GUGGGGAAUAUUGGGCAAUGGACGAAAGUCUGACCCAGCGACGCCGCGUGAGGGAAGAAGAUCUUCGGAUUGUAAACCUUAGUUAUCGGGGACGAAGCAGGUGACGGUACCCGAAGAGAAAGCCACGGCUAACUACGUGCCAGCAGCCGCGGUAAUACGUAGGUGGCAAGCGUUGUCCGGAAUUACUGGGUGUAAAGGGCGUGUAGGCGGAACUACAAGUCAGGGGUGAAAACUAUGGGCUUAACCCAUAGCCUGCCUUUGAAACUGUAGUCCUUGAGUGCUGGAGAGGCAAUUGGAAUUCCUAGUGUAGCGGUGAAAUGCGUAGAUAUGCGGAGGAACACCGAUGGCGAAGGCAAUCCCCUGGGCCUGCACUGACGCUCAUGCACGAAAGCGUGGGGAGCAAACAGGAUUAGAUACCCUUGUAGUCC